rnacentral:lncRNA from 1 species
AGGGGUAUUCUAUACCUAGUACCUUAAAGCCAUCUGGUUUGAGAGUCAUUGACUGAAAACUCGCUACAUGAGUCGAAUAGAAAGCUUAAGGGGUUAAGAUACUCAACAGCAGUAUAAUAUUAAAAAAAAAAAGAGCAAAGUCUAAAUAUUGGUCUCUCAUCGAGUAACUGGGCCCCUUCACCUAAGUAAGUGUUGUGGUUCACAUC